GUGGGGAAUCUUCCGCAAUGGACGAAAGUCUGACGGAGCAACGCCGCGUGAGUGAUGAAGGUCUUCGGAUUGUAAAGCUCUGUUAAUCGGGACGAAAGAGCCUAGUGUGAAUAAUGCUAGGAAGUGACGGUACCGGAAUAGAAAGCCACGGCUAACUACGUGCCAGCAGCCGCGGUAAUACGUAGGUGGCAAGCGUUGUCCGGAAUUAUUGGGCGUAAAGCGCGCGCAGGCGGAUCUGCCAGUCUGUCUUAAAAGUUCGGGGCUUAACCCCGUGAUGGGAUGGAAACUACAGAUCUAGAGUAUCGGAGAGGAAGGUGGAAUUCCUAGUGUAGCGGUGAAAUGCGUAGAUAUUAGGAAGAACACCAGUGGCGAAGGCGACUUUCUGGACGAAAACUGACGCUGAGGCGCGAAAGCCAGGGGAGCGAACGGGAUUAGAUACCCCUUGUAGUCC
rnacentral:rRNA from 1 species